rnacentral:lncRNA from 1 species
UUGAUGCUUAGGGCCUCCAGGAUGCCUACAGCAUAGAAGAGACUCGUUCUGAAAUCCCUCCAACUCCUUGAGCCAUUGAUUUCUCAUUGACCAAGCAUGAUGGAAAAAAGCAAGCACACAUGCUAUUUGCUUUUGAGCUACUCCGGGAGAGGAGCAAAGAGUCGGUUUGAGUUGCAUGACUGACAUCUUCUGGCUACAGUGGAUAUUACAGAAAGACUGAAACUCCGCAAAGUAUCUGCCAUUUAGAAUGUGCCCACAACUGCCAAAUCAAUAAUAGAAUAAAGCAAGGGGAAUCCCUGAGCCUUCAUGGAGUAAGAGCCACACCUUCUUAAGGGGAUCAAGGGGCAAAGUGACUUGAAGACAAUAUUAUCAUGAUAAAUAAGGAAAUAAGGGAAAGUGUGGAAGGUUUUCAUCUCAAUGGUCAUGAAAAAAAGUGUGCAUUAUUAGAGUUGAGUGCAUUUAAUAAGCCAGGAUUAUCUCCUAGAGUUGCAGAGCAAGACAAAGCAAGUAGAGUCGGUAUCUGGAGACCUUUUUGCAAAGAA